rnacentral:rRNA from 1 species
CCUACGGGGGACAGCAGUGGGGGAUAUUGGACAAUGGGGGGAACCCUGAUCCAGCGACGCCGCGUGAGUGAAGAAGUAUCUCGGUAUGUAAAGCCCUAUCAGCAGGGAAGAAGAAAUGACGGUACCUGCGUAAGCAGCACCGGCUAACUACGUGCCAGCAGCCGCGGUAAUACGUAGGGGGCAAGCGUUAUCCGGAAUUACUGGGUGGAAAGGGAGCGUAGGCGGUGAUGUAAGUCUGGAGUGAAAGGCCGGGGCCCAACCCCCGGACUGCUCUGGAAACUAUGUGACUGGAGUGCAGGAGAGGUGAGCGGAAUUCCGAGUGUAGCGGUGAAAUGCGUAGAUAUUAGGAGGAACACCAGUGGCGAAGGCGGCUUACUGGACGGUAACUGACGUUGAGGCUCGAAAGCGUGGGGAGCAAACAGGAUUAGAUACCCGAGUAGUC